UACGGAGGGUGCGAGCGUUACUCGGAAUCACUGGGUGUAAAGCGCUCGUAGGUUGCUUUGUAAGUCAGGUGUGAAAUCCCACGGCUCAACCGUGGAAUUGCACUUGAUACUGCAUUGCUUGAGUUCGGGAGAGGGUAGUGGAAUUCCAGGUGUAGGAGUGAAAUCCGUAGAGAUCUGGAGGAACACCGGUGGCGAAGGCGACUACCUGGACCGAUACUGACACUGAGGAG
rnacentral:rRNA from 1 species